UGAUAAGCUGUGCUCUUCUUGGUUUGGGUGCAAAAGGAACAGAAUCCUCCCUACAAAAGGCACUAAUUAAUGGCCCAGUCCUCCCAGGUGUACCCGAGGCAAUAGGGAAUUCAAGAUGCCUGGCCUUGCAACUGCAGGCCAGAAGGGAUGAUGCUUGUUGGCCUGGCACAGACCCUUGAGCAUUGACUCUAUUUACUCUGUUUUAUAAAUUCUGCAUGAGCCUGGCAUCUUACAGAGUCUUCAGUAGUUUCAGAACCUAUGGAUACAGACGAGGGUGCUGUCUGUGGGUACUUCUAGGAUAUUUUAAUGAGACAGAGGCAGAUGGAAGAGACGGUGACAGUCAGCACAGAAAAUCUGUGAGCAGCCUCACUCGGAGGGAAAGCAUCAGCUCUUGGAGUGCCUAUUGAAAAUUCGUACAGUGGUGAAGGAUCUAAAAGUGAAAAGAAAGGCAGUGAAGAGAGAAAGAUGAGACAAAUUCUUCUAGGAACUGUAAAAGUUAAAAAUGACAAGUUUUGAUUUCUCCAUCCCCCAUUGCCCUGAAUCCAGCUGCGUCUCUGAGACUUCAGUGAUUCAAAGUGACCUAAGAAACUGAAGAGAAGGAGAGAGCAAUCUAUGUAGAAAUUCCUUUCUCUGGAGACCUCUUCUGCCGUGUUGCUGAGUUUGUUGGAGUGUGGGAGGGAGAACCUGCAUUUCCUUUGGGCUCCUGCUAAUUCUGCCCAGCUCCUGAAGACCAGAGGGUGCCAACAUUUCUGAAUUAUUUGCACCCAAAUGACUUUCCAGCUGGGAUUUUUAACUACUAGCUACCUGCUGACUGCAAUCAAGCCUAGAGGAGCUGCUCCACCAGCACCUUCCUUCACUGUUUGAAACAAGUCCCCAGAACAUUUAAGCAACCUGGCACGCUGCCUCUAUUCCAGAAGGUGCCCGGACCCAUCUUACAGGUCCUGUGAUGCUACCAGCUGCAUUCCAAAAAGCCAGGUUGGAGGCUGCUCUGGGUUCCAUGGAGAAAUAAUGGCAACGGGAGCUAAAAAUCCAGUUAUGGAUACAGAGAGACCAGAAGAAGUGCAAUAAGAGUGAUGGAGAACAAGGCUACAAGCUGUGGUACUUCUUGGUAGUGUUGCCUUUCCUGGGACCAUCCUGUGGCUCCAGCAGGAACGUUGGCUAUCUUCCAGGGGGUAUUGCUGAAGGAGCAUGUUUGAACCAAGAAUAUGGCCGCUACUUGGAGGACAUACAUGCAGAGGUGGGGAAACAAGGACAGGAGACAGCUGAGAGAAGUGUCUAAGUCACUGAGAUGGCAUUACAAGUGCGAGAAAGAUUGUGAGGAAGGGGCUGAGAGAGGACAUGGCAGGAGGUUUGAGCAGAGAUGUGAGCAGGGCAUGAAGUGUGAAAUGUUUAGCUACUUGUAUCUCAAGUUCAUUAUGGAAAUCGAUGUUGCCUAAGGAGAUGAAGACAGCAUCAUUUGAUGUCAAGGGGUUUGCUGCAUGGUAUUAAAUAAAUCAUCUCCCUAUUUUACUAUGA